CCAAUAUUAAUGAACGAGACAGUAAUUCCAGACAAAGAGUCACAGUGAGCCGGAAUAGGUGAGAUCCGGUACGGAUGAUUGGAAUGAAGCGGACUCGGGAAAUGGUCCUCCGAACACAACCGAGUAGGAGGAUCCGGUAACUGCCGUUAUCAGCAGAGUGAUUGGCCUUGUGACAGAGGACCAGUACUUAGAGUGGUACCACGGGAAGCGCGAGCUCUCGUCUCUUAU
rnacentral:ncRNA from 1 species